UUAAUACGACUCACUAUAGGCCAAGUCAUUUAGGCUUUGUUCUGGCCAAUCGUCCUGGUGUUGCCCUAAUUGGCCUUCCCUAAUAACAUUAACACUAAGAACAUCUGGCAAUACCCGCGUAUUCUCCCUAUAGU
rnacentral:sRNA from 1 species